AGCAAAGGGAUGAGAUGUAUCUAUAGUCUGAAUAGUUUUCAGAUGUUGAUUGUUAAUCAUCUUAUUUUGCCUUCAAAGUUCUCUGAUUGCU